UGAGGAAUUUUGGACAAUGGGCGAAAGCCUGAUCCAGCGACGCCGCGUGAGUGAAGACGGCCUUAGGGUUGUAAAGCUCUUUCAGUGGGGAAGAUAAUGACGGUACCCACAGAAGAAGCCCCGGCUAACUUCGUGCCAGCAGCCGCGGUAAUACGAAGGGGGCUAGCGUUACUCGGAAUUAUUGGGCGUAAAGCGUGCGCAGGCGGUCUAAUAAGUUGGAAGUGAAAGCCCAGGGCUCAACCCUGGAAUUGCUUUCAAAACUGUUAGACUUGAGUACUGAAGGAGAUAGCGGAAUUCCUAGUGUAGAGGUGAAAUUCGUAGAUAUUAGGAGGAACACCGGUGGCGAAAGCGGCUAUCUGGUCAGAUACUGACGCUGUUGCACGAAAGCGUGGGGAGCAAA
rnacentral:rRNA from 1 species